rnacentral:tRNA from 1 species
CGGCGGCCGGCCUGGGCUACGCAGGCUCCGCACUCGCGGUGCGCGGCGUCGGGCUGCCGUUCGAGGCGGCUGUCGUCGUC